GGCAGCUAGCAUGGCAGGAUUCGUUUCGAAGUUUAUAUUACAUGCUUCGGAAGAAUGUUUGCAGCAUCUUCUACGUUUGCACUGCUCAGUUUGUGAUCAUGUUCACCAGUUCUUAUUCAGAGGAGAACAAAUAUGUUUGUAAUGCAUAUAUUUCUCAGUCAACCCGGGGUUUGAGGUCAUUACUCAAAGAACAUGAUGUUUC
rnacentral:misc_RNA from 1 species